rnacentral:snoRNA from 1 species
AGACCAUGAUGAGGACAUUCUAUGAGAAGGUCUUUGAAACGUUCCAUGCAUCGAGAGAAUGGUUCAUUGGGGCGCUGGCGAAACUGGAGAAUGUCGUUCCUAAGUUU